CAUGAAAUGUCUUUCUGAGAAGAGAAUGCUGAACAUGUGAUCUGGAACAUGGAAGCAGCUAGCCCCAAGAAGAGAAGGAACAAGGAGUGCAAGAUCCUCUGGAGGCAGGGCACGGUGAAAAGACUUCACAAGUUCUCAGCACUUCUUGAAAGAGAAUAUGCCUCCAAGCCCUUCCUCCAGCUGGCUCCAGUGGAGUCUUUUUUUUUCAUUUCAUCUCUGGCAAAGUCACAGCAGAACGCCACGAGCAGCUGGAAACUCUCUGAGGAACCACCUUGGACCUCGCCUUGGAUAAUUGCAGACUAUCAUCAGUCCCUCACCUGAGGCAUUUUAGCACUUGUGAGAACCUCAAAAAAAUCCUUUUUCUUUUUUCCCCCAAAAUGGAGUAAGGUAAAAAACUGAAUGUGUGAGACUAUGUCUUUGUUUCUAUUUUCAUUUGCAAUCCUCCUAGGUUGUCGGAUAAUCGAGCCAUUCAUCAGUGUCAAGUCAUGGUCUAGAGCACAGACAGUGCUUUGCCACUUGGCGUCCACUGUGGCUUAAAUGGCAAUGAUUCGUGUUACUAAGUCUGGUACUCUGUCAUGAGGUACAGUGGGAGUCACAGACCUAGAAACUGUUAGGGCAGAGACACCACCUUGGUGACCAUCUAAGGCUUUCCUCCAUGGUUGUUCAUCUGCUUUCUGACAUUCCAGAAUGUUCUCCAUGUUAUUCUGACCAGCACUCCCAGUGAGGACUACUAAGAUUUAGCGUCCCCAACUUUGCUUUUUGAGGUUGCUAAUAUUUAUGUCCUUUUCCUCGA
ensembl:lncRNA